GAGCACUUGAUACUAACCGAGCCAUCCGUACCCCAGGCCUUGCGCAGAGGUCUGAGGUACACCUUGUGAUUGCUGGGUCUGAAGAGUGCAACAUUAAAACAAGCCAUGAAGUGUUUAAGCUCAGUGUAUAAAGGAUAACACUGGGUUAUAACUCAGAGGCACAGAA
rnacentral:snoRNA from 1 species